rnacentral:rRNA from 1 species
GGUGAACGCUGGCGGCGUGCCUAACACAUGCAAGUCGAGCGGUGCAGUUUGAAGCUUCGGUGGAAAGCUGCAUAGCGGCGGACGGGUGAGGAAAACGUAGGAACGUGCCCCUUGGAGUUGGAUAGCCACGGGAAACUGUGGGUAAACCGACAUAGACUCGAGAGAGUAAAGGCCGAAAGGCGCCAAGGGAGCGGCCUGCGGCCCAUCAGGUAGUUGGUAGUGUAAAGGACUACCAAGCCGACGACGGGUAGCCGGUCUGAGAGGAUGGCCGGCCACAAGGGCACUGAGAGACGGGGCCCUACUCCUACGGGAGGCAGCAGUAAGGAAUAUUGGGCAAUGGUCGAAAGACUGACCCAGCCAUGCCGCGUGCAGGAUGAAGGCCCUAUGGGUUGUAAACUGCUUUUAGCCGGGAAUAAACACCCGUUUUAUAACGGGCCCGAAGGUACCGGCUGAAUAAGCAUCGGCUAACUCCGUG